UACGAAGGGGGCUAGCGUUGCUCGGAAUCACUAGGCGUAAAGGGUGCGUAGGCGGGUCUUUAAGUCAGGGGUGAAAUCCUGGAGCUCAACUCCAGAACUGCCUUUGAUACUGAAGAUCUUGAGUUCGGGAGAGGUGAGUGGAACUGCGAGUGUAGAGGUGAAAUUCGUAGAUAUUCGCAAGAACACCAGUGGCGAAGGCGGCUCAACUGGCCCGAUACUGACGCUGAGGGCACGAAAGCGUGGGGAGCAAACAGG
rnacentral:rRNA from 1 species